rnacentral:tmRNA from 1 species
GGGAGCGACUUGGCUUCGACAGGAGUAAGUCUGCUUAGAUGGCAUGUCGCUUUGGACAAAGCGUAAAAAGUCCAAAUUAAAAUUAAACGCAAAUAACGUUAAAUUCGCUCCUGCUUACGCUAAAGCUGCGUAAGUUCAGUUGAGCCUGAAAUUUAAGUCAUACUAUCUAGCUUAAUUUUCGGUCAUUUUUGAUAGUGUAGCCUUGCGUUUGACAAGCGUUGAGGUGAAAUAAAGUCUUAGCCUUGCUUUUGAGUUUUGGAAGAUGAGCGAAGUAGGGUGAAGUAGUCAUCUUUUCUAAGCAUGUAGAUGUCUUUGUGGGAUUAUUUUUGGACAGGGGUUCGAUUCCCCUCGCUUCCACCA